AGUUCAGUGUCUUAAUUUAACAACAGAAUACAUCGUUAUUGUUAGAACCACUUUUAUGUUGUAAAUGCUAUUUAAAGUUAUAUUAUUAUUGUUAAUCUUUUCUAUUUUGUCUUUUUUCUGGCUGUAGAGAGAAUCAUGUCAGCCCACAGACAACCGGUUGACCUGUGAGUCUUCAAGCAGUAAUGAUGACUACGCCUGCCUUAAGUUCCAGUUUCCUGGACAUGUCAGCAUGAGAUUCUGUCCCCACCUGUCUUCAGUCUGGACCCAAUGAUUCGGACACCAGUCUUGUCGAGGCUAAAUUGAGAUCAAGCAUUGACGGGAAAACACCCAAAGUCCAUCACUCGUAAGUAUCCACUGCAGCAUAUAUAAAAGAUAUUAGUCCAUUUGAACCACUAUUGCUAAACCUUACAUCGUGAUUAAUAUUAGAUAUUAUUUCUUAAGUACUUUAAUGAUCUUAGCAAAGCACUUUUUUAAGACAUUUCCCCCACUGGCCAUAAAAAACUGGGUAGCUUUUCCUUCGGCCUUCCUUCUUUUGAGUUGUACGGUGGCCCUGAGAGGUCAGGGCACUGCAACUUAAUGAAACAUGCUAAUAGACAAAACACAAGCAAAUUAAGAAAACAACUUCAUCAAAUUGACAGCACAUGUGCAGCAUUUAGAAAAAGCGCUGCAAAUUCAGACGACACAACGCGGUACAGAAAAGCGCUGCAAAUUAAGAAAAGGUGUUUCAAGAGGACACUAAAUCGUGAUGAACACGGCUUGGACAGGCUUGCCGUUGCUAUGGUUUGUGACUCAUGAAGUUAUUGAAAUGUGUUUCUGAUGGAAGUGCUAAGACAUGCACUAGGUGCAUCUUUAAAUAGGUAAACAUUUCAUUACUAUCAUUCUAAAAGCUGACUGUGUUCAGAUUGACAGGAUGUUUCAUAACGGCAACUGUUGGUACAGACAAUUUCAAAAUAGUUUGGUUAAGCUUGUUUAAAGGAAUGGUAAGAAAACAAAGCUAACUUUCUAAGGACUUUCCAGUGAAU